UACGUAGGGUGCGAGCGUUAAUCGGAAUUACUGGGCGUAAAGCGUGCGCAGGCGGUUUUGUAAGUCAGAUGUGAAAUCCCCGGGCUUAACCUGGGAACUGCAUUCGAGACUGCAUUGCUAGAGUAUGGGAGAGGGAAGUGGAAUUUCCGGUGUAGCGGUGAAAUGCGUAGAUAUCGGAAGGAACAUCAGUGGCGAAAGCGACUUCCUGGACCAAUACUGACGCUCAUGUGCGAAAGCGUGGGGAGCAAACAGG
rnacentral:rRNA from 1 species